AGGACGAACGCUGGCGGCGUGCUUAACACAUGCAAGUCGAGCGGAAAGGCCCUUCGGGGUACUCGAGCGGCGAACGGGUGAGUAACACGUGGGCAACCUGCCCCUAGCUCUGGGAUAACUCCGGGAAACCGGGGCUAAUACCGGAUACGAUCUUCCACGGCAUCUCGGAAGAUGGAAAGUUUUUCGGCUAGGGAUGGGCCCGCGGCCUAUCAGCUUGUUGGUGAGGUAACGGCCCACCAAGGCGACGACGGGUAGCC
rnacentral:rRNA from 1 species